GUGGUCAUCAGUGAUCCCCACAUCAAGAUUGAUCCUGACUACUCAGUAUAUGUGAAGGCCAAAGAUCAGGGCUUCUUUGUGAAGAAUCAGGAAGGGGAAGACUUUGAAGGGGUGUGUUGGCCAGGUCUCUCCUCUUACCUGGAUUUCACCAAUCCCAAGGUCAGAGAGUGGUAUUCAAGUCUUUUUGCUUUCCCUGUUUAUCAGGGAUCUACGGACAUCCUCUUCCUUUGGAAUGACAUGAAUGAGCCUUCUGUCUUUAGAGGGCCAGAGCAAACCAUGCAGAAGAAUGCCAUUCAUCAUGGCAAUUGGGAGCACAGAGAGCUCCACAACAUCUACGGUUUUUAUCAUGUAAGACAUCCAAAAAGAAUUAAACUGGGCUUGUGUGACCCACCUUUUGGCUGAA
rnacentral:lncRNA from 10 species